UACGUAGGGCGCAAGCGUUGUCCGGAAUUAUUGGGCGUAAAGAGCUCGUAGGCGGCCUGUUGCGUCCGCUGUGAAAACCCGGGGCUUAACCCCGGGCUUGCAGUGGAUACGGGCAGGCUGGAGGCAGGCAGGGGAGAACGGAAUUCCCGGUGUAGCGGUGAAAUGCGUAGAGAUCUGGAGGAAUGCCGGUGGCGAAGGCGGCCCCCUGGACAAAGACUGACGCUCAGGUGCGAAAGCGUGGGGAGCAAACAGG
rnacentral:rRNA from 1 species